rnacentral:lncRNA from 1 species
AUAUCGUCGUAAUUAUUUGCUAUUCUAUCAAUUGCUUAACAGUAAUUUGUGUACCCACCAUUUACUAUUUUCUUGAGAGAAGUCACUAAUGAAACCUAUGACCCCCGGGUCUACUUCACAUCAUCUAUUUUUAAUCUCGAAAUUUUGAUUUGCGUUUCUAUUUUAUUUGCUCUUUUAUUGUCAGAUCUAUAUUAUAGAAAAACCAAAAAUAC